rnacentral:rRNA from 2 species
GACGAACCGUGCGAACGUUGUUCGGAAUCACUGGGCUUAAAGGGCGCGUAGGCGGACCUCCAAGUCCGGGGUGAAAUCUUUCGGCUUAACCGGAAAAGUGCCUUGGAUACUGGGGGUCUCGAGGGAGGCAGGGGCGGAUGGAACUUCCGGUGGAGCGGUGAAAUGCGUUGAUAUCGGAAGGAACGCCGGUGGCGAAAGCGAUCCGCUGGACCUCUUCUGACGCUGAGGCGCGAAAGCCAGGGGAGCAAACGGG